UUCAUCGAUUAAAGUAAUUCAAAGUCCUUUUUUGACUUAAAAGAUUGUCAUCGGAGUCAGCCUAAACAGUCAGCCUAAACAUGUCUUCUGAAUUCGCCUUUUCAUCGAGACGAUCCCCGCUCGUUUGUCUCCACGGCUGCUCGUCCUCCAGCCAGCCGUUGGCUACGGGCAUUGGACUGGACAUCCUGAAACGGGGCGGGAACGCGGCCGACGCAGCGGUUGCCAUGGCAGCGGCCCUGUCAGUCACAGAGCCGUGCAGCACGGGUCCCGGGGGAGAUGCCUUCUGCCUCUUCUACGAUGGAAACACCGGGGAUAUAAGUUGUCUAAACGGCAGCGGCCGUUCCCCCAGAGCCCAGACCCUGGAGCUGCUGGAGGGGCGUGACUACAGCGCAGAGGCCCCGCCCCCUGCCUUUGACGCUCUAAACAUCACAGUCCCCGGAGCCCCAGCAUGCUGGUGUGACACUGUGCAGAUGUUUGGGAGCCACAAGGUCUCCCUGGGCGAGGUGUUGGGCGGGGCUGUGCACCUCGCCCAGGAGGGGGUUCCGGUUGCCAAGGUAGCGGCCCACCAAUGGGCACACUGGGUGGACGCCAUGCGGCAUGCUGGGAAGGAACUGGACAGUGACCUUCUGGUGGAAGGGGAGGCGCCACGGCACGGACAAGUGUUCAGGAACCCCGCCCUGGCUAGGACCUUCAGGGAGCUGGGAGAAAGCGGGAAGCCAGGCUUCUACCAGGGGAGAGUGGCUCAGGCCAUCGUUGACGUUAUCCACCAAAACGGCGGGGUCAUGACCCUGGAUGACCUCAGCGGCCAUGACAGUGAGGUGGUCACUCCGAUCAGUACAGACUACAAGGGCGUGCGUCUUUGGGAACCCCCUCCCAACAGCCAGGGCCUGGCCGCCCUGUUGAUGCUCAAUAUCUUGGAGAACCUUCCGCUGCAAGAUCUUGGCCACAACAGUGUGGACUACGUCCAUCUCCUGGUGCAGGCGGUCCGCCUCGCCCUAACAGACGCGUUGCAUAACAUAAGUGACCCGGACCAUGUGAUCAUUCCUCUGGACAGCCUAUUGGAUAAGAGCCACAGCCGCCAGCUUGCCCAGCAAAUCAGCAUGGACAGGGCCAGUGAGGUGGGUGCACCAGCUGUGACGAUACAGGGCGACACUGUGUACUUCUGUGUGGUCGACUGCCAGGGCAACGCAUGCUCCUUUGUCAACAGCAACUACAUGGGCUUUGGCUCAGGCCUUGUGCCGAGGGACUGUGGCUUCUCCCUCCAGAAUCGGGGUGCUAGUUUUUCUCUGCGUCGUAACCACAGCAACUGCAUCGCCGGCGGUAAACGCCCAUACCACACCAUAAUGGCCGCUCUCGUCACCGGCCCCGCCUCCGUCGGACAGAAGCCCCGCCUCCUGGCGGCCCUCGGAGUGAUGGGCGCCAUGAUGCAACCGCAAGGACACGUCCAGGUGCUGCUGAACAUGCUGGAGUUUGAAAUGGAUCCUCAACAGGCCUUAGACGCUCCCAGGGUCUAUGUGGAGUACGACCAGAAAGCUGAUCAGUGGCUGGUUCAUUUGGAGGAGGGAUUUGGCAAAGAAGUUUGCGAUGAGUUGAGGAGGCGGGGCCACCAAGUAAAUUGGCCAAUCACAGGAUUUAAUCGUUCGCGAUUUGGUCGAGGACAAAUCAUUACAGUUGGUGAUUGGUGGAAUCCAUCUGUCCGUCAAGCUGCUCAUCCAACCAGAGUUCUGUGGGCGGGGUCGGACCCCAGAGCAGACGGGUGUUCACAAGGCUACUAGACCUGCUCGAAAAACGGGUCAGUUGUAUAUAUCUCUGGGGGUCAGCCCACUAGCAGCAGGAAAACGCUGCAUGCCUAAUGUCCUCACCUCCACCCAUCUAAUGCAUCUGUGCUGGCAGCAUGUCCACCGUGAAGACCUAUCGGUGUGAUGAGAACCCUGUUUGUAUACCUUUCUAGGAGUUCCACUUGUCAGUGGCCAGUAUAAACACACACACACACACACACACACACACACACACACACACACACACACACACACACACACACACACACACACACACACACACUCUCUCUCUUGGUCCCGUUAAUGUUUUGAGCACCCCAAUAAGUGGUUUAAGUGGGUCUUCGCGUGGGUCUUCGCUGUGUGUCGCCUAUCUCUGGGGGUAUUUUUAGUAGCAGGAAAAUUCCGGUCCAAGCUCCCACACAAGACCCUGUCUGAAGAAGAUAGCAGCAGAGAAUAAAAGAAAUGGCUGCCAUCGCUGCUGUCAAGUCAUGGAUCUGUUGUGAUGCAUUGAUGUUGUUUGGAGAUUCCUAUUGAAUAGUAUGCGGAUGACAGGAAAAGAGCCCCAAUUUCCAUUGAUGAGAACACUUGUUCAAAAUAAGAGCCCUUAUACCUAUAGCUACUCUGAUUGGUCGGAUGUAUACAUUGUGGUUGGACAGUGUCAUAGUUGCCAUUUGUGCCACUCAUGUCAUUGUUGGAAUUAGAUUCAAUGUCAUUGUUGUAAU